rnacentral:rRNA from 1 species
AUUGAACGCUGGCGGCAGGCCUAACACAUGCAAGUCGAGCGGAUGAAGGGGGCUUGCUCCUGGAUUCAGCGGCGGACGGGUGAGUAAUGCCUAGGAAUCUGCCUGGUCGUGGGGGAUAACGUCCGGAAACGGGCGCUAAUACCGCAUACGUCCUGAGGGAGAAAGUGGGGGAUCUUCGGACCUCACGCUAUCAUAUGAGCCUAGGUCGGAUUAGCUAGUUGGUGGGGUAAAGGCCUACCAAGGCGUCGAUCCGUAACUGGUCUGAGAGGAUGAUCAGUCACACUGGAACUGAGACACGGUCCAGACUCCUACGGGAGGCAGCAGUGGGGAAUAUUGGACAAUGGGCGAAAGCCUGAUCCAGCCAUGCCGCGUGUGUGAAGAAGGUCUUCGGAUUGUAAAGCACUUUAAGUUGGGAGGAAGGGCAGUAAGUUAAUACCUUGCUGUUUUGACGGUACCAACAGAAUAAGCACCGGCUAACUUCGUG